UACGUAGGUGGCAAGCGUUGUCCGGAUUUACUGGGCGUAAAGAGCGCGCAGGCGGUUGAUUAAGUCGAAUGUGAAAGCCCCCGGCUCAACUGGGGAGGGUCAUUCGAUACUGAUCAACUUGAAGGCAGGAGAGGGAAGUGGAAUUCCGGGUGUAGUGGUGAAAUGCGUAGAUAUCCGGAGGAACACCAGUGGCGAAGGCGGCUCACUGGCUCAUUUCUGACGCUCAGGCGCGACAGCGUGGGGAUCAAACAGG
rnacentral:rRNA from 1 species